rnacentral:rRNA from 1 species
GAGUUUGAUCUUGGCUCAGAUUGAACGCUGGCGGCAUGCCUUACACAUGCAAGUCGAACGGCAGCACGGGAGCUUGCUCCUGGUGGCGAGUGGCGAACGGGUGAGUAAUGCGAUCAGAACGUAUCCUGGAGUGGGGGAUAACGUAGCGAAAGUUACGCUAAUACCGCAUAUUCUGUGAGCAGGAAAGCGGGGGACCUUCGGGCCUCGCGCUCUUGGAGCGGCCGAUGUCGGAUUAGCUAGUUGGUGAGGUAAAGGCUCACCAAGGCGACGAUCCGUAGCAGGUCUGAGAGGAUGAUCUGCCACACUGGAACUGAGACACGGUCCAGACGUCCUACGGGAGGCAGCGAGUGGGGAAUUUUGGACAAUGGGGGCAACCCGUGAUCCAGCCAUGCCGCGUGAGUGAAG